GGGCUCGGAACGUCACUCCAACCCCUGUGACAUACCACUUGUUGCCUCGGCGGAUCAGCCCGCUCCCGGUAAAACGGGACGGCCCGCCAGAGGACCCCUAAACUCUGUUUCUAUAUGUAACUUCUGAGUAAAACCAUAAAUAAAUCAAAACUUUCAACAACGGAUCUCUUGGUUCUGGCAUCGAUGAAGAACGCAGCAAAAUGCGAUAAGUAAUGUGAAUUGCAGAAUUCAGUGAAUCAUCGAAUCUUUGAACGCACAUUGCGCCCGCCAGUAUUCUGGCGGGCAUGCCUGUUCGAGCGUCAUUUCAACCCUCAAGCACAGCUUGGUGUUGGGACUCGCGUUAAUUCGCGUUCCUCAAAUUGAUUGGCGGUCACGUCGAGCUUCCAUAGCGUAGUAGUAAAACCCUCGUUACUGGUAAUCGUCGCGGCCACGCCGUUAAACCCCAACUUCUGAAUGUUGACCUCGGAUCAGGUAGGAAUACCCGCUGAACUUAAGCAUAUCAAUAAGGCGGAGGA
rnacentral:rRNA from 1 species